GGGGAGCGCGGCCGGAGGAGGAGCGGGUGGUGGCGGCGACGGCAGCAGCUCGGCGUGAUGGCGCGGCCCUUCUCGCCCAUCCCUGGGCCGGGCGGGAGUGAGACACAUCGGCUGAGACGGACAAUCAAGCAGUCAAGACAUCUUUUAAAACAAAAUUCCACAUGCUUUUAAGUCACCGACGUGAAUAUACUUUAUUCCCCUACACUUUGGAUAGGCCAACUGAACAUUCUGGUUUGCACCCACAUUAGGUAACACUGUCAUCUUUCUUCUCUGAGGUUUUGUUGGAGGUCUGAGGAACACGAGAGGACAAGAAACACCUGUGUGGAGGCUCAGCUGUCCAAGCAGCAUGGAAAAGGUGUUAAGAACUCGGGGGGGGGGUUAUAUUUUGCAAACAAAAGGAGGCUCAUUUCCUCUAUUUGCUCAUCAGAGCUUUAGGUGCAAAAACACGCCUGGAGCUCGUGAAAUACCUUCACUUAUGUCUGAAUCUACCAAAAUUCUUUAUAGAGCCAUCUGAAAAGUAUUUGAUUUUUCCUUUAUGAAAUACUACAGAGCUUUUCUGAACUGUUUCAUCAAGCAAACCCUUAAUAAAAAACACACAGACCGACAGGAAUUGCGGGCUGU
rnacentral:lncRNA from 7 species